CGAGACAAUUGUACAGAGUAAUCUACAUAAUAAGAGAUACACCAAUGGCAGUAAUGAGAUUCAUGAACUAGCUAAGUAAAGGUUAAAUGAAAGAACCCCUUGGUUAAAGCUUCUAUGAGAAACUCAAAUAUUUCUAACUAGUAAAUCAUUCAAUUUAAAAUCCAACGGAAACUAGGAAAGAUGAAAAAAACUACAACUAGUUAAGAUAAG